rnacentral:rRNA from 1 species
GAUGAACGGCUGGCGGCGUGCUUAACACAUGCAAGUCGAACGAAGCACUUUGCUUGAAUUCUUCGGAAAGAUAGCCUUGUGACUGAGUGGCGGACGGGUGAGUAACGCGUGGGUAACCUGCCUCAUACAGGGGGAUAACAGUUAGAAAUGACUGCUAAUACCGCAUAAGCGCACAGUACCGCAUGGUACAGUGUGAAAAACUCCGGUGGUAUGAGAUGGACCCGCGUCUGAUUAGCUAGUUGGUGGGGUAACGGCCUACCAAGGCGACGAUCAGUAGCCGACCUGAGAGGGUGACCGGCCACAUUGGGACUGAGACACGGCCCAGACUCCUACGGGAGGCAGCAGUGGGGGAUAUUGCACAAUGGGCGAAAGCCUGAUGCAGCGACGCCGCGUGAGGGAAGACGGUUUUCGGAUUGUAAACCUCUGUUUUUAGUGAAGAAAAAAAUGACGGUAGCUAAAGAGGAAGCCACGGCUAACUACGUG